AACGAACGCUGGCGGCAGGCCUAACACAUGCAAGUCGAGCGGACCUUUCGGGGUCAUCCGCGGACUGGUGAGUAACGCGUGGGAAUAUUCCCUUCUCUACGGAAUAGUCCUGGGAAACUGGGGGUAAUACCGUAUACGCCCUUUUGGGGCAAGAUUUAUCGGGGAAGGAUUAGCCCGCGUUGGAUUAGGUAGUUGGUGGGGUAAUGGCCUACCAAGCCGAAGAUCCAUAGCUGGUUUGAGAGGAUGAUCAGCCACACUAGGACUGAGACACGGCCCAGACUCCUACGGGAGGCAGGAGUGGGGAAUCUUAGACAAUGGGGGCAACCAUGAUCUAGCCAUGCCGCGUGAGUGAUGAAGGACUUAGGGUUGUAAAGCUCUUUCAGCUGGGAAGAUAAUGACGGUACCAGCAGAAGAAGCCCCGGCUAACUCCGUG
rnacentral:rRNA from 1 species